ACAAACUUGGUCAUUUAGAGGAAGUAAAAGUCGUAACAAGGUUUCCGUAGGUGAACCUGCGGAAGGAUCAUUACAAAUCGAUGGAGGAGAGGGGGAGAGGUUGGGGUGGGAGGUUGAUGAUCUGGACUGAGAUACCGGAUUCUCUACCCCCACCACACUCUACACCAGAUCCACAUUUGCGCUUGUUGUGUUUGACAGAGUAAUAUACCCAAAUUAAAUGACAACUUUUAACAAUGGAUCUCUUGGCUCUUGCAUCGAUGAAGAACGCAGC
rnacentral:misc_RNA from 1 species